UUUAGAGAAUGUUUCUUACAUGUUUAAUGCUCUCAGAAGAACGUGUCUGAGCCAUCCACAAUUUCAUUGCACACCCUGUGACUGUCCCCAGUGGGCCAUGUAGCUCAGGGGGGCAGUCAGACCACUCUGCGUUACUUUGACACUGGUUUUUGUUCCUCUCAAGUUAUUUCCUGCUGACUUAACAGCUCUUGUGAUUCCUGCCUGUAUCUGUGGAAAAACCAGCUGCUGAUUCAGCUUUGGCUCUCUCAGGAAGGGGAACCUGAGUUUGGGUUUUGAGGAGGCAGGCCAGCAUCCAGGAGCCUUCGCCUGUUCCCAGGGGAACCCCAGAGCCAGGAAUGAAGAUGAAGCACAAGUUUUGGUUUCAAUUCACUUUUUAAAACUAGUGCCUUUUCAAAAACCAGUUUCCAUAGUGACAGGGAACUGUAGCACCAUUGUGAAGGUCCAAAAAGCCCUGGCUGAGUAUUAGCCAGAAAUUCAGCAGUGUGACCAGCUCCUGAGCCACCUUCCCCAGCCCCUGCUGUGCUCACAGCAGGGCUCUGCUUCAAACACCUUCCUGCCCACCAGUCACACUUUUAGCUGCCUGUGGGCUGUGCUACUCCUGAGCACUAGGGCUUAAUCACAGGUAAAAUUAUGUUUGUCAAAAAAGGAAUAUGCUUUGGCUGCAUUUAGCCCUUUCAUAUAAAGGGAAAAGCUAGAUUUGAAGACAGCUUUCACCCAUUGUUUCCUUUUUUUUGCAGAAUGGUACAGAAACCAUGAAAUGCGCUCACAGUCAUCCAUUGAGUCAGCAGAGGAGCCGAGCUGGAAGCCCAGAUCCUAUUUAAUUCUUAUUUUUUAGAACAUGCUGCCUCUCGCCUUCCCUUUUGCUAUCUGUCUGUGGGGAUACUUCUAUCCAUGGUAUAAUCCAGACCUCCCAAAAGGACCUAGGAACUCUCACACAAUCACAUUGUUGUCCUGGUCCUCACCACAACACACAAGAGGCGUGCCAGAGAGAACAUCCUCCCUGCUGGGCUCAGUGCCAGCUGGUGGAGGUGAUGGACAUCACUGCUUUGCCCUCCUCCAGGCAGCUCCUUUGCCCUCAUCCUUUGCUGUCUGUUGGAUUAGGUUGCAGUCUGUAGUAUGCAAAGAAACACAACCACAACACUCUUACAAGUGAAGUCUCAGGUAAAGUUACAGGCACCUGUCCAGUGGUUGUGUUACCUGUGGCUUUUGGGUGAUGUGCGUUAUGUGUGUGGAGGAGGCAGAGAAAAAUGUGGUGCUGCUAUUUGUACAAACCUCAGCAAGCCUUUCAGUAGGUCUGCACUCAACGCCUUUCCUCAGGAAUAGCUGGGACUGUGGGGGACUGUGGGCUUCAGUGAGGGUGUCUGUGGCCUGGGUGCCACCCAGAGUGCAGAGCCAGCCUGCAGGGCACGGUGAAGAUGCCUGCCCAAGGGACACAGGGAUGUAACAGCCCCAGCACGAACCACUGUGCAUGUGGCAAUUCCAAAACAGAACCCAGGCACUGAAGGCAGGGCACCAGCCUGACUCAAAGCAUGCACCAGACACCUCCUCCCUUUAUCCCCUAUUAUCCCUUUCAGUUUUAUGAUAAACUGUAAUUUUUCUCAAACAUUUAACAAUCAUUAUUCCCUUCCUACUCCUCCUAUUUUUGCCUGCGUAUCCAUGCGACACGUUUGUAGUUGAGAUCACAUGCAAGAAAACAGAGUGAAAAUGGCAACUAACGCAGUUUUUGUGAGAGAAGAAUGUUUUGCAUGUUGCUUGCUGUUGAACCAUUGGAAAUGACAUGCCAAACAAGAAAUUGUCCUUCUGGUGCAAGACCUUAACUCAAAUGAAAAAGGCCAAGUUCUGCAGGAAAGAAAAAAUAAAGAGAGGCAUAUUUGGACCAGUUUUUAUGCCAGUACUUUCAAUGUGAGGCUAGAUACACCAAGCUAAGGGUUUGUCUAUGCUAAGGCUGCCAGUGGAGCUCAGAAGAAGCCAAGAGGCCAGACAUUUUGCUUUCUAUUUCCCAGCUUCCAGCUACCAGCAGCUCAGGGAAUUCAUCAGACAGAGGUAAACCCAUGUCUAUAUUGCCAGGACAAGCUGAAUAAAGUAAGUACUACGUAUGUCUUGAAAACUGAUCAUCAGGAUUCACCAAAACUUGAGAAGUGCACCACUCUGACUGUCUUGAUAUUGCAACUGAAGGCACUGUUUUAAAGAAAUACUUCCUGCAGGAUACAAAUUUUUCUCUUGCUUCCUCGAGACCUUCAAGUGACCCCACUAAAUUGUUAAAAUUCCAUUAGAAAGUGGCUGCUGGGAACAUGUGCAAUAAAUAGCUGCUAAGAUCAAUGUCAGUCUUACUGAUUUAAAAUCAAUGUAUUGCUUGCUGACGGUGCUGGCAGUGUUUUCCUCUGGGAAAUGUAACAGUGGUUGGCUUUAAACAAACACAGUGGUAAAAAACAUUAUCUGAACUAAUUAGUGACUCAGACUCAUUUUAGAGUAACCCAGAAAAUGCCUGUUGCCCACAGACAAAACUUGGAAGUGAUCAGUGACUUUGGAUACUGCCAUUUACAGUGGGACACUGGACAGUAUCCUGGAACAGAGCAGAACAACUGAAAAUGCUCUCUGAAAAUUAGAUGCUUAGGGUAAGUAGACAAUGGUCUGAAAGUCACCAGUCACUUUUGAAAACAUGAUGUGAACAGCAUUAGGUUACUAUGGCUCUAAUGACCACCACCCACCCUUUCCAGGCAAAUUGCUUGUUCCCCUCUCAUCUUCUGGCUGGCCUUCAUCCCACGUGACACCAUGCAUUCGUGACAGAAGUAAGCCCACCAAAACCUAAAGUGCCACCACAAGUUGGUCUCAUCCACCAGCAAGCAGCUUUGGGCUGAGCUGGCAUUCUCUCUUUCUUUAAAGCCUCUCUCCUGCUAUGAGUAGGUUUUUUUCAGAGGCUCAGCCAGAUUGCUUUAAUGAAAAUAGGCAUGAAAGCAUUUGCCCUACCUACAUUAUGUUUUGUAACCUAACAAUUUAAUUGCAUCAUGUUUUUUCCAACAAAUCAUCUGAUGAUGAUUCCCAGGACAAGCCUUUACCUCUUUACUUCAGCUGUUACCACAUCCUGCUUGUAGAUAACCACUAAAUCACGAGGGGAUUGGUCACUAGAUAAAUCAGAGCUCUUUUUUGAUGGGUUUCUAACCUGGGAAAUAGGACACCUGAAUGAGAAACAGAAACUGUAACCACAUCAGAACUCUGCAGUCCAUGCCUACAGACUGUCCAGAAGGAACAGGCAAGGACAGACAGCGGGGCGUUUGCCCUACAGGUGAAAAAAAUAGAUUGAAUGCACAGAACUGUCUUUGAAAACCAGUGAUCAAGAGGUUGAGGGCUUAAAAGUAAAAUCUAGGGGCAAGUCAACAAAGGAAAACUCAUGUAUGGUCUUCCUGCAGAGCACCAGAGCAAGGGAAGCUGCUGAUGAAGUUUUCUUACUUUGACUACAGGAAACACUAUGCCCCCAUGCUCUGAUCCUGCUGGGGCACUCCUUGAUAUCUCUUGGAAAAGCAGCACAUAAGCUGUAAGCAAUCCGGGAGACUCCUGGAGGGUGUUGAGGAUGAUUUUGUAAUCCAGGUGACAAACAGCGUGACCAGAGGAGAAGCAUGAGCAGUCCUGUUGUUUAUCAACAGGGAUGAACCAUUAGAGAUGAUAAAACUGGUGAUAGCUCAGACUGCAACCAUCCUGCCCUGGUGGAAUUAAGUCUUGAACACCUCUCCUGUGAAGAAAGGCUGAGAGAGCUGGGGUUCUUCAGCCUGGAGAAGAGAAGGCUUCAGAGAGACCUUAUUGCUGUCCUUUAGUUUAAAAGAAAUACGGACAAAGACUUUUUACUGAGGCCUGUAGUGAUGAGAGAAAGGGUAGUGGCUUUGAAUCAAAAGAGGGUGGACUUAAAUUGAAUAUACAGAGGAUUUUUUUUUUUAUUAGAAUGGUCAUGAGAAGUUGUAGAUACCCCAUGAUGGAAGUGUUUGAAGUCAAGAAAGAUGGGGCUUUGAGCAAACUCAUGUGGAGGAAAGUUCCCUGCCUAUGGCAGGGGCUUUCACUGGAUCAUCUUUAAAGGUUCCUCCCAACCCAAGUAAUUCUAUGGUUCUAUGAUAAGCUGUAAAGAAUUUAGAUUUUGUGAUUUACUUCCAUGAUGAAUGGAAAUUUUUUAAAAAUGGGGACUAUUUUUCCUUCACUACUAAAUUUUUUAUAAGAUUAUAAUGUUUGAUUAUAAGAUUAUAUUUGUUUUGAUGGUGAUUAGAGUAUAAACCAAUAAAAACCAAGAAAAUCCCAUAAUGGACCUGCACUGUGGAUCCUCCUUAGCUAUACACGUGCUCAUGCCCAGAAAUACUAACUUUUCCAUAAAAAUGGACACACACACACAGAGCAUUUAUUAAGCCCCAACAGAAAAGUGGUUUUAUACCUGAGAAGGAAACUUUCAAAUACAUAGCCUAUAAAUAGAUUAUAUGCUGCCUUUCUGGUUCAAUAAAUAGCCUGAAAAAGUGCUCUCAGGAGACAUGAAUUUGCAGUGUCCCCCCUUUAUUUCACUGAGAGGUAAAUUCUGCUCUCUUAAUUUAAUACUUUGUUGUCAGUAUGAAAAUUGCCAUCACAAGGGAAGCAAUUGCACUUUCUGCAUUUCUUUAGGGAUCAGGAAAUAAAUUUUUACAGAAAAAAAAAAACAACCAGUCCCAUAUCUCCUCAUGUACAGAAAGAAGCACCAGGUUACUUGACAUGAAAAACAUUGGGAACUUGUGCAAUGGCCAGUACACAAACCACCAACAAGCCUAGACAAGUUGGAUAUGACAAAAUAGAAAGCCACACUGGAUGUAUCCUGCAGACACUGCUGCCCCUGGAACUCGGACACUGUGCUUGGAGCAGCCAGCAAGAAACUGGCUCAAGAGUAUCUCACAGAGAUGAAUUCAAAUAAAACUUUUCCAGCCUUCAAUGGUACACUUGUUUCUGGUUCUUGAGUAGUUUAAUUCCCAGUCACUUUUGUGUUAAUAGUAAAUUUGAAUGUGCAAAACAAAGCAUGUGGCUCCAUGACCCACUGGCAGAGCCCAUUCCAUCAGACCCCUCAUUCCAGAGGCACCUCCAUGUGAGAAACAAUUUUGCAGCUUUUCCAGCCAUUGCUGGAGGUAAGACAACCUCCUCCCUGUGUAAUAAACAGAUUUUUCUUGCUGUCUUUCCCCCACCCUGCACACCACAGAAAGAAGUAUGGCCCAGCAGAAGUAUUUUCAAGCACAAACAUGCACAGAAGGACUUAAUGCUUUGUUUUGCUAUACCCAGCCCCCAUAAAUUUAUGCUCAUGUAAUUACUGCUCUCUGCCUACUGAUAGUGAGCUAAAAAUACCACACACACCCCAAAUUAGAACUGGUUUCUAUUUUUUGUUAAAUUCCUGCAGUUGAUAUAGAAGAAAAUGUUGUGAUGAGCCACAUGAGAUCCCUCUUGCCUGCACUAGUCAGGACAGGAGACUGCAACACUACCAACAGAAAAACCCCACCAAAAGCAUGGCAUGCACAGACCAGGACAAAUUUGACUGUGUUAUGAUACCAUCAGUCCUGUAUCCCUUUUCCUUUCUUCAUCUGAUGCUUAGUGUUUCUACAGUGGGAAUGGAUUUGAGCCGGGAUCUUUUCUGUCAGAGCCUGCAUUUAAAAGGAAUAUAAAAUCUUUCUGCAAUAUCCAGAUUCCUAGUUUAUAUUCCAAGGUGUUCCUAAUUUAGAAUAAACAUAAAAUAUUUCUGUUAUUUAGAUAAAAUGUAAAAUGAUAUGCAAGCCAUUUCUGUUCUAUCCAAAUUCCUACUUUAUACUCUGAGGUGUCUCUCACUUACAUAGAACUACUUACAAUUGAUGAAACACUUAUUUUUGAAGCCUUUGAAAGAACAUAAAAUUAAUCUAAUAUUAAAUAAACAACAACAGAUUUCCAACUUAUAUUCAGUUUGCAAAAUCUUUGUCAUAUGAGCCAUCUCUAUUACAUACAAGUAUCAUAUUUGCCAUUUAAGCUUCGGAGUCUCUAUUUCUAAAAGCUUUGUGGAAGGAACUGUCUGGAAAUCCCAUAAGGUCAACCCCUUCCCAAGCACAACUAAUGAGACUGAGUUUCCCAGAGUCUGUUUGAGGUGGGGAAAUCAGGACAUGCAUACAAGUUUCCCUGUCACUUCUGAUAGGCUUAUCUGAGAAAAUAACAUUGCACAAAAACCCACCCUGAGCUGUUAAUGUAUUUUGAUUUUUGCAUCAAUAACACAGAGAAAUAGCUUAUAUGGGAGACUAGGCAAAGCUUCAGCUGGCAGCCACUGGAGACAGAAACUGCACUAAGAAAAGAGAACUAAUCUAGAGCUGCAUUCUUGUCAAUAUCCUCUCACACUUUUGCAGCAGCAGAGACAAUACCAAAUGCAAACAUGCCCCUGCCCACUGCACAGGCCUGGAUCAUCACAGAGAGGCUGGGAUAAGCAGAUGAACAUUUGGCUAAGGACCAAGGAACAGAUUUUUCUGGGUUUUUUUAGAUAUUGAAAAGCCAAGACACAAUCAAGGUCCCAGAAGGAUUUCCAAAAGCGAUUAGGAGCCCAAGUUCUCUGAGUCCAUUGGUCCUUCUGAAAAUCCUGUAUAGUAACAAAUGAACUGUAUCACUGAACAUCAAAAUAUCUCUUUGCUUGUGCUGCUUCUGCUAGGGACCUUGAUUUCAGAAGGGCAAAGUCAUUAUUCUGAAAAGGUUAGAAAUUUCUUCCCCUUCUUUAGUUCACCUACCUUCUCCCAGAACGGGAAAGCUUUUCCUCUUUUUGCUUAAUAAAAUUAUUAUUGCUCUAUGAAGUAUUUUAACUGAAAUUGUAAUAUCAGCACUCAAUCCCCUGGCUCUGGCUACCCAGAUCUUUGCUUUAUAGAGAACAACUUGCUUUCAUUUGACUGAGGUUUACCUAGCACAGAUUGCAUUACAAUGCCUCUGAUAGUGCAGAGUUGCAGGGUCUUUUUUUUGGGUAGAAAAUCCUCUUGGAUUGGGAAGCCACGCAAAGGUUGCAGUGUCCAUUCUGGUGCUGUCAGAUAGUGGUGGGCUACACUGCCCUCUCUAUUUACACAUCUCUACUGACAGGAAUUGUGCUGUCCAUGUGGGACCUUGGGACUGUAGUUCAUACACACUUUGUCCUCAGAAAUGUGAUACCAAUCUAUUGCACAAAGACUGCAAAAGAACUGCACUGAUUUUUUUUUUCUUUAAAGAAGAAAGUGUUCCCUCAGUGUGAUAGAUACUGAACAUGACUUUUGCUCAGACUGCAAAUAGCAAAUUACUUAAUCAUCAACUAUUUAAGUACCUGUUUGUUUUGUCAUGAAGUGAAACUUGCGAGCAAGAUCCUAUUACACGUAAAGUGGUUUCUUGCAUCCUUAAAUAUAAAUCCUCAAGUAAAAACAAAUUAAAGAUACUCCCAAGGUCACUUUAGUAAGUCUGAGCUGAGGCAUCCCACUCUCUCGUAUCCCACAUUAAAUGUUCUUUGCCUUGUCUUUGUGCCAACACCAACAUUUUUGUAGCCUCUGAAUGACCUUGGCAGAAGGAUGGGGAUGGGGAUGUAAGCUGGAAGGGAGCCGGUCCUGGGGGGCAUAGGAGCCAUUAGCAACCACUGGCAGCAGGAACAGGGCUGGAAAGUACAGCAAGCCCUGCAAGGGAGAGGGUUUGCUAAGGACCUGUGGUCUUAAGCCGGAGAUGAUGGGAAGUGUUAAG
rnacentral:lncRNA from 1 species